AUGUAUAUGGUGGCUUUCACACUAAACUUGAGAUGAUACUAAGACGAUUACCACAGCCCCUGCACAAGAAUGACAUACAGAUUUGUGGAAUUUUACCUAUUUUA
ensembl:snRNA Gm54479 U6 spliceosomal RNA